rnacentral:rRNA from 1 species
UACGGAGGAUGCAAGCGUUAUCCGGAUUCAUUGGGUUUAAAGGGUGCGUAGGCGGGUCUAUAAGUCAGUGGUGAAAUCCUGCGGCUUAACUGUAGAAUUGCCAUUGAUACUGUAGGUCUUGAGUGUAGUUGAGGUGGAUGGAAUGUGUAAUGUAGCGGUGAAAUGCGUAGAUAUUACACAGAACACCUAUUGCGUAGGCAGUUCACUAAACUAUUACUGACGCUGAGGCACGAAAGCGUGGGGAG